GUCCUGGGCAAGUCUAUCCUCAGACUCUAGAAAAGGUCUGGGGAGCCAGGAGCAGCUGAAUUCAAUACUAGUUAAAUGAUUGAAUGAAUGGAAUUCAGUCACCCUGCCCGAAGGACCAAGUCCCCAAGUUCCUCCGCCUGGGAUCUGAGGACCUUCUUGAGGUGGCCCAGCCACAUGUGGCAUCACCCAGCUCCGACCCAACUGAGGGACCUACUCCUAGGACAGCACUCCAGCCUACAAUCCACACCCACAAAGGAAAGGUUCCCACCUUGGUAGGGUUCCAGCCCUACCACUGCAAUUUAAAAAGGACUCAAACUAACGAACGUUUAUUUUCAUCUGCCUCGGCAGGCACCAUGAGUUACUAGAAAGAAGUGAUGAAGGUAACGUCCUGGCAGUCCAGUGCUUAGGACUCCUGGCUUUCACUGCCAAGGGCGCAGGUUCCAUCCCUGGUUGGGAACUAAUACUAAGAUCCGCCAAGGCGCUACGAAGACUCCGCGAGUUGUUCUGCUCGGUCAAAGGGAAAAAAGAAAAGUUAUGCCACACUGUGUGCUACCUUCAUAUUAGGUGAGUUUGCAGCUCACCUGAUAAGGACGCUUCAUUCUGUCCCAUCUCACAGAAACUGAGUCCAGGAUGGGUGGUGAUCGAUCCCAGGCUAUGAAGAGAGACUGUGGGAGAGUCAGGGAUCCAACAAGAGACUCCUGCUUCUCCCCGCUGGCCAGGAUAGCUGGAGGUCACAAGUAAUUUCAGGAGGAGGAAACUGGCCCAGCGAGGCAGCCUCAGAUCACAGGUCCUGCGACACCAAUUAAGUGUUUCCACUGCCCCCCACCCCCGCCAUCCCCACCGCGGCCGCCAAUGAAGCCUCUCACCUCCAGAGUCUGUAUUCGGUCGAUCCCAUCACCUCCCCAC
ensembl:lncRNA